CAGCUCCACCCGUCCUCCGGGAAGGAGCCCCUCCCAAGGCAAGUUCAACUGGGUUCCUUGGCAGCCGAAGUGUACACGGACCCCGCAGGGAGUGGUGGAGAAAAAGAUCUGGAUCCAGAGAAUCUUCAGCGAAGCCUGAACGGCUCCUGCCAAGACACCGAUUUAACAAUCUGGACUGUUUUCUUUAAUUUGUGAAUCUGGGAUUUGGUGUCUGCGUUUGGACAGAAUCAAAAUGCUUUCCUUUGAUAGAAAGCAAGCAAGCAAGCGCAUCCUAUGAGGCUGGAGAGCCUGCUCGCCAAGCCCAGGAAACGCAGAGUGUGAAUUUCUGCCAGGAGUGAUUAGAUUUCUUCUUGUUCUCCCAACCAAGAUGUGGGAGAGUGAUGAAUCUACUUGAAGAAAAGGACCCCAUGGAGACCUGGGAGAGUGGGAAGAAAGCAUGUGAUAUGGACAAACAA
ensembl:lncRNA